rnacentral:lncRNA from 1 species
CUAGACUUUUCUCAUUUGCUGGUUCGUACAGGAUCCUAUUUUACACCUUUGAUAACUUGUUAGUAAAGUAUUGAUGAUUGACUAUGUUGCACAGAUACGGAUACGGGGAUACGAAUACGACACGAUACGGAUACGGUGAUAUGGCAAUUCCUAAAACUUCUAGGAUACGAUACGCGGGAUAUACUUGAAUAAAAUAUUAUUUUAAAUAUAUUUAAAUAUAUGUUGAUUAUAUGUAAUGAUAUAUUAAGAACAAUCAGAAUAUCUGGACUAUAUUAAAGAAUAUAUUCUAAUAUGUAUUAACUUGUAUAAUUGUUUUACAUAUGUGCAUAAAAAAAGAUAAUCAAUCAUAUAAAAUAAUAAUUCAAAAAGUAUCAAACCAACUGUCAUCCAACUUGAUCAAAUGAUAACAAUAGAUAUGUAGUUGCACAAACUAGAUAAUUAGUCAUUCAAUAUACAUGUCUGUUUUGUUAGUUCUAUUAUUAAAAUAGUAAUAAAAAAAUAUGGUAGCAAUGUAAUAGAGAAGUAAAAAAAAUCAUAUUUUCUAUAGCCUUUGUUGCUUAAUGCUAGGUUGACAAAUUAGAUGAAAGAGAGCAUAUACUGUGUGAAGAUAGAAUGAGAGGGAGCGCCUUCUACCAAUCAAGAGCAAAAAGAUAUAUGAAAUGACAAAUUGAACACUGAUUGGCGUUUUUCUCACUCUUUUCCUUCUUUCUAAUAGGUUUGGACAUGAGUUUUUUAAAAAAAUUUUAAGUUUCGAUCAUUUUAGAUCAAAAAAGAACCUGGCCGUGUCCCCCCCGUAUCCCCCCGUAUCCCUCACGUAUCCGAGCAGUAUCCGAUAUUUUUUUAUUUUUUAAAAAUGCCCGAUACUUCAUUCCCGUAUCGGACACGUAUCGGGCGAGUAUCGGGCGCGUAUCGGUAUCCGAUACGUAUCCGAUACGGGUACGGCAUGAAAUUUGAAGUAUCCGUGCCUCAUAGAUGAUUGAUGAUCAUUUCGAGCGGUAUCUUAGUAUACAGGUUUCUUAGUAUGCAAUCUAUGUGCCCACAUGGUCAUGUGUGCAGUGCCAUUCCGAACAGCUAUUAAUAUUUUUAAGGUUUCUUUUAUUUAAGUAGCGUUGCAUGUAGUUGUACGGCAACUGAUCUCUCAACAUUAGUACAGUAGUACGUACGUGCAACUUGCCACAUGUCGAGAAAUUAUCCUAUAUCUAGG